UACAGAGGGUGCAAGCGUUGUUCGGAAUUAUUGGGCGUAAAGCGCGUGUAGGCGGCUUUGCAAGUCGGGUGUGAAAGCCCUCAGCUCAACUGAGGAAGUGCGCCCGAAACUGCAGAGCUUGAGUACCGGAGAGGGUGGCGGAAUUCCCCAAGUAGAGGUGAAAUUCGUAGAUAUCCGGAGGAACACCGAUGGCGAAGGCAGCUUCCUGGCCCGUAUCUGACGCUGAGGUGCGAAAGCGUGGGGAGCGAACGGG
rnacentral:rRNA from 1 species